GACGAACGCUGGCGGCGUGCCUAAUACAUGCAAGUUGAGCGCUGAAGGUUGGUACUUGUACCGACUGGAUGAGCAGCGAACGGGUGAGUAACGCGUGGGGCAUCUGCCUUUUAGCGGGGGACAACAUUUUGAACCGAAUGCUAAUACCGCAUAAAAACUUUAAACACAAGUUUUAAGUUUGAAAGAUGCCAUUGCAUCACUCAAAGAUGAUCCCGCGUUGUAUUAGCUAGUUGGUGAGGUAAAGGCUCACCAAGGCGAUGAUACAUAGCCGACCUGAGAGGGUGAUCGGCCACAUUGGGACUGAGACACGGCCCAAACUCCUACGGGAGGCAGCAGUAGGGAAACUUCGGCAAUGGAGGAAAGUCUGACCGAGAAACGCCGCGGGAGUGAAGAAGGGUUUCGGAUCGGAAAACUCGGUUGGUAGAGAAGAACGAGGGUGAGAGUGGAAAGCUGAUGAAGUGACGGUAACUACAGAGAAAGGGACGGCUAACUACGUG
rnacentral:rRNA from 1 species